GAUGAACGCUGGCGGCGUGCCUAAUACAUGCAAGUCGAGCGAACAGAUGAGGAGCUUGUUCCUCUGACGUUAGCGGCGGACGGGUGAGUAACACGUGGAUAACCUACCUAUAAGACUGGGAUAACUUCGGGAAACCGGAGCUAAUACCGGAUAAUAUAUUGAACCGCAUGGUUUAAUAGUGAAAGACGGUUUUGCUGUAACUUAUAGAUGGAUCCGCGCCGCAUUAGCUAGUUGGUAAGGUAACGGCUUACCAAGGCGACGAUGCGUAGCCGACCUGAGAGGGUGAUCGGCCACACGGGAACGGAGACACGGUCCAGACUCCUACGGGAGGCAGCAGAAGGGAACCUUCCGCAAUGGGCGAAAGCCUGACGGAGCAACGCCGCGUGAGGAAUGAAGGUCUUCGGAUCGUAAAACUCUGUUAUUAGGGAAAAACAAAUGUGUAAGUAACUAUGCACGUCUUGACGGUACCUAAUCAGAAAGCCACGGCUAACUACGUG
rnacentral:rRNA from 1 species